GUUCCAAGAUUGUGAGUCAAAAUAAUACCGCUUCUUUUCCUUCAAACGCAAUCUAUUCCUACGUUCCUGGUAGUUCCCCAUUCUUUUUACCUAAUCUCUUAAUAGAUAUGAAUGGCAUCUUUGCUUAAGCUCCUUCAAUUAUUGCUUCCGAAUAUUCUCAUGGUAUUUGCUCUUUGUUUUUGAGGAUCCAAUUAAUAAGCAAAUCAUGGAGGCUUCGCUGUUGACCUCAACACUCUCGUCUGCAUUGACCGAGGCAAUAUCUUGGAUGUGAACCAGAAUUGGAAUGUUGGGUGUUCUUGUUUUUGAUACAUGUAAAGAGGUUUGGGGCAAUUUUGAUGCCUUCUGUGAAUCCCUCCAUCUGGGCUUAUCAAAAGAGGAGAAGGAACGAAGUAAGUUUCUCUUCUCAGUUAUGUAUGAUAUGGUUUGAGUGCUGCUUUAUUGAAUUACUCUCGCUAUCCCUGUUACGUUCUGUGAAUUUUAAAGGACUAGACAUGUUUCAAUUCAAUACUGAGCUAGUUUCUUGAUGCUUCAAACUUCCUUACAAAAGAAAAAUAAAGAAAAGAAAAUGUGAAUGAGUAACCAAAGUUCACAUAAACUAGGAAGGAAAGGGAAAGUUGGAAUCUUGAGUUCACAGGCUAAUGGUGGAGUCCAUGUUACAAUUGCUCUGUUUAAACAUAUCCGUCCCAGUUAAUGUUCUGUUUUUUCAUGUUUUAGUUUCAUAGCGUCUUCACAUAUCGUUCCAAACUGUUUAUAAUUCAAAAUAUUAAUUUUAUGAAUAUAAUUUCAACU